AUCCACGGCACUAUCCUUCCAAACCAAGUCUUCAUCCCGUUAUGAUCCCCUUCUUCAUUCAAAUCCCAGCAAAUCUCAGCAUCCGUGGGUGAACUUGUGUAUCCUUAUCUCAGUUCUUCCGCUCCCAGCUACCCACCUACCACCCUUAUCCCUUGCUUCAACGGAUCAGAACUGCAACAGUCCGCGGAUCAAGCUUCCCAACCAUCUGCCUCUUCCCAACGCUCGAAUCAAAUCUUCUACGCGUCGCCCGCUGCCGUGGAGCAGAAGCCGUUCCUCCAUCCUCAUCUUUUCACUAGG
rnacentral:lncRNA from 1 species